rnacentral:rRNA from 1 species
CCUACGGGUGGCAGCAGUGGGGAAUAUUGCUCAAUGGGGGAAACCCUGAAGCAGCAACGCCGCGUGGAGGAUGACACUUUUCGGAGCGUAAACUCCUUUUCUUGGGAAAGAAUUAUGACGGUACCCAAGGAAUAAGCACCGGCUAACUCCGUGCCAGCAGCCGCGGUAAUACGGAGGGUGCAAGCGUUACUCGGAAUCACUGGGCGUAAAAGACGCGUAGGCGGAUUAUCGAUUCUCUUGUGAAAUCUAACGGCUUAACCGUUAAACUGCUUGAGAAACUGAUAAUCUAGAGUAAGGGAGAGGCAGAUGGAAUUCUUGGUGUAGGGGUAAAAUCCGUAGAUAUCAAGAAGAAUACCUAUUGCGAAGGCGAUCUGCUGGAACUUAACUGACGCUAAUGCGUGAAAGCGUGGGGAGCAAACAGGAUUAGAUACCCGAGUAGUC